ensembl:lncRNA
AUGAAGAUUCUUCAGUUCAAGAUGAAGAUGAUCAUCUCCACCCUCUACCUGAUCUCAGGCCCAGUGUGCUGCUCUGAUGUGCUUGUCUACUCAGGAGGAAGUGUCAUUUUAUUCCCUAAUCUACAGUGGGAUGUAAACCAUGCACGAUAUAUUUGCAAGAUGGAGCAAAAUAGCUGCCUAGAAAUCAUAAAGGAUCAGAGUAAGAGCAAGUCUGUCACUAGCGGGAGGUUCACGAUCUAUUCAAAUACAGCAGGCAACUUUACAGUGUUGAUCAGAGAGCUGCACCCACAGGACUCUGCCGUCUACAGAUUUGGAGUUGGGAACGAAAAGCAUAAGGACGUUGAGCUGACCAUUCAGAGUGAUUCUUGUUGUGGGGGAAUUAAAAGAAUGAAAGCUUAUCUGGGAGAGACGGCCACCUUCAAAUGUAGCUAUCCAGAUGAGCUGAAGACAAACAACAAUGGCUUUGAGCUUCAUAAUGCGCCACACAUUUUCAAUGGGAGACAGGUCUGGCCUGCAGGCAGGCCAGUCUAGUACCCGCACUCUUUUACUACGAAGCCACACUGUUGUAACGCGUGCAGAAUGUGGCUUGGCAUUGUCUUGCUGAAAUAAGCAGGACGUCCCUGAAAAAGACGCUGCUUGGAUGGCAGCAGAUGUUGCUCCAAAACCUGUAUGUACCUUUCAGCAUUAAUGGUGCCUUCAUAGAUGUGCAAGUUUGAAAUGUGGACUCGUCAGACCACAGGACACUUUU